CAGGGAGACAACAAAAUGUUUAAUAUUAUUAUUUUGUCACCUUAGGUCGAUCGGUAUCUCACGUUCUUAAUUUAUUAAGAAUUUCAUUUCCUAAGUUUUUCUAGGUCACACCCAUUAUUUUUCCUGGGCCAUUAGCUCAGGUGGUUAGAGCGCACCCCUGAUAAGGGUGAGGUCCCUGGUUCAAGUCCAGGAUGGCCCAUAUCUCUAUGUUGGGGGUAUAGCUCAGUUGGUAGAGCGCCUGCUUUGCAAGCAGGAUGUCAGCGGUUCGAGUCCGCUUACCUCCACUGAUUACCACCUCUUCCAUACCGGUAAUAAAGGAAAUGUUUUGAGUUGUGAUCAAAUUCUGAAAGAAUCUAGCUUCCUAAUGAAAUCAUUAAGAUGCUGGACUCAUUGAAUUAAUUUCAUUGUUUUCAGAGAACCUUGACAACUGCAUAGAUUAUUUUUAAAGACAAUAAGCAUCUUUAAUGAUGCAGAUUUAUUAUUUGUGCGAAUGCAUUAAUAACAAUUCUAUUAAGCUGAUGCUUCAAUUUUUGAAGUUAUU
rnacentral:tRNA from 1 species